ensembl:lncRNA
CAUCAUUGUAGCUCACAUGCGUGAAAAGGAAGGGAGAACUGUAAGUAAAGCAACAAAGGAGUUUCAUGCGCUUGGAAUCGUGUCACUCUUCCCAUCUUUGAAGGAUCCGUACUCCAAAAAGGGAUAUGAGCAUUUCUAUGACAUUCAGAGCAACAAAGGUUUUCUUGAGUGGCGUAUCAAGACUGUGCAACGUCAAUCCAAAACCCCCACUGCAUCACAGAACAGAGUGGAACUGAAAGGAGGGCCCACAUCACAAAGGACGUUUGGUUUCACUAAUGACCAGCAAACAAGAGAUCAAUGUAUGGAAGCCAUGUCUCUUCUUCAUCACACCACUGACCAAGAUAUAGUCUUCCAGAAGAUGAGAGAGACAUUCUACUAUCGUCAGCAGAUACUCCAUGACCCACAAGAAUCAGCAAACAUUCUUCAGAUGUUUCCUCGUUUUU